rnacentral:rRNA from 1 species
AGAGUUGUAUCCUGGCUCAGGAUGAACGCUGACAGAAUGCUUAACACAUGCAAGUCUACUUGAAGCACUUUCGGGUGUGGAUGGUGGCGGACGGGUGAGUAACGCGUAAAUAACUUGCCCCCUAGUCUGGGACAACUGUUGGAAACGACAGCUAAUACUAGAUAUUAUGAGACCUUGGCAUCAAGGGCUUAUGAAAGCUAUAUGCGCUAGGGGAGAGAUUUGCGUCCUAUUAGCUAGUUGGUGAGGUAAUGGCUCACCAAGGCGACGAUAGGUAGCCGGCCUGAGAGGGUGAACGGCCACAAGGGGACUGAGACACGGCCCUUACUCCUACGGGAGGCAGCAGUGGGGAAUAUUGGACAAUGGACCAAAAGUCUGAUCCAGCAAUUCUGUGUGCUUGAUGAAGGCCUUCGGGUUGUAAAGAG